UCGUGACGGUGUGAUCCCGCGAAUCAUUUUUGUUCAUUUUACUGUAAAUACGCGGUGCCAGCGAGCCAUGGCGCCACAGCAAGUAUAACAAGUGCCAGAGAUUACUUGGGUGCCAUUCCUUUUCCGCGGGAAGGCUUAGAAAAGGAGGUAAAGGCGUAUUGUGGGGAGGAAGGGAAGAUGGCGGGGGAAGGGAAGAUCUUAACCCGAUGUGCCAACGUUAUUUUUCGUGUUUUCGUGCGAUUUACGUGUAUCCCAAAGUGCCGAGUGCGAGGAAAGGAAAGCAAAGGUGCCAGUGAUCUUAUAGUGGCAAUCCUAGCGUGUGGAAAAGCAUAUAAAAGGCUGGAAAUAAGAGAAAAGUGAAGGGGGGAAUGGCGGGAGUGAGUGUUAAUGGUGGAUUUUUCAAUUUACCUCGAAUUACGUGUUUGCCGGAGCGUCGCGGUGCAGGGAAGGUGCCGGUGACCAAGUGGUGCUGGACGUGGUGAUGGAGAGAGUUAGGAAAGUAAAAGAGAAGAAGGUGAGAAAAGGCCUUGAAAUUUGUGUGCGCGUGCGUGCGUGCGUAGAUGUGUCUGCGGCUAUAUAAUUAUAUAUGGUAAGAUUGAUCAAGUCCAUGUUAUCACCAAGUUUGUUAUCGCAAGAACAGGAAGAACAAAGAGAUAAAGAAUUAUAGCAUCUACGUCAAGGCUUGGAGUGUCGUGGCACAAGGACAGUCAAACACACAGGCACAUGAGUAGAGCAGGCCAGAAGUACCAUGCAAGGACGCGACAGAAAGAAAAGGAGACAGUUCAAGGGCGUGAAGAAACAAUACAAUAAUGAAAAAAAAAAGCCCGCUACUUACUGCUCCCGAACAGAGUCCAUAGGAGUGGCCAAAAAAACGAUCAAUUUCGGGAGGAGAGGUGUCCUGACACCCUCUUCUUGAAAGAGUUCAAGUCGUAGGCGGGAGGAAGUACAGAUGAAGGAAGAUUGUUCCAGAGUUUACCAGCGUGAAGGAUGAAAGAGAGAAGAUGCUGGUUAAGUCUUGCAUAAGGGGUUUGGACAGUAUAGGGAUGAGCUUGAUUAGAAAGUCGUGUGAGGCGAGGCCGCGGGAGGGGGGGAGGCAUGCAGUUAGCAAGUUCAGAAGAGCAGUUAGCGUGAAAAUAACAAUAGAAGAUAGAAAGAGAGGCAACAUCACGACGGAAUUUAAGAGGAAGAAGACUAUCAGUAAGAGGAGGAGAGCUGAUGAGACGAAGAGCCUUUGACUCCACUCUGUCCAAUACGUAGAGCUGUGUGAGUGGAGCCCCCCACACGUGAGAUGCAUACUCCAUACGAGGGCGGACAAGGCCCCUGUAUAUACUACUACUACUACUACUACUACUACUACUACUAUUAUGACUGAAAACCGGUUAGUCUUUUCUGUGACCUUGGCAAAUAGCCGUGAUGGGAGCCCGAUGAUACGUUUAAGAAUAAAUGAACUUUUAUCUCGCUCUGCCAAUCAAGGUGUGUGUGUGUGUGUGUGUGUGUGUGUGUGUGUGUGUGUGUGUGUGUGUGUGUGUAAGUAAGUAAGUAAGUAAGUAAAUAUUUAUUGCCUUUAAAAUAUAAGAAUAUUGUUAUAUAUAAACAUAACAUAAAACAUGGCAAUGGCACAGCCUGUCAAGCCGAAGCUUCCCGACAGACAUGGAAUUAUAUUAUUUUAUUUAAUGUUUACAUUGGCACAAAAUUGGUACCUAAUAU